rnacentral:rRNA from 1 species
UACGUAGGUGGCAAGCGUUGUCCGGAUUUAUUGGGCUUAAAGGGUGCGUAGGCGGUCUUUUAAGUCAGUUGUGAAAUACUUCAGCUUAACUGGAGAGGUGCAAUUGAUACUGGAAGACUUGAGUACUGAUGAGGUAGGCGGAAUGGACGGUGUAGCGGUGAAAUGCUUAGAUAUCGUCCAGAACACCAAUUGCGAAGGCAGCUGGCUACACGAAUAUUGACACUGAUGCACGAAAGCGUGGGGAUCGAACAGG